ACGCAUCUCGACCCAAAAUGUUUUAUUCGCCGACAACCAGACCAGGCAGUGGAAAGAUUUUUACAGCGCGUUAGGUAUACAGUGUGUGUAUAAAGAUGUUACUGGAAGGUAAAGUUGCCCUGGUGACGGGAGGGGCGCAGGGUCUGGGCAAGGCUUUCUCCGAGGAACUACUGAAGAACAAAGCGAAGGUCUGCAUAUGCGAUUUAAAUACAAAGACUGGAGAGGAAACUAUCCGAGAAUGGAACUCUAAAUAUGGAAGCAACGUCGCCAUGUUUCUACGCUGUGACGUCACUAAUCAUGAUCAAUUUGAAGGUAGAUUUGCUUUGAAAUACAGUGUAAACAUGUCCAAGCAUUAUUCAUGAUGUAAGUCUCAUUUUACGUUCUUAAGAUGUGUUUAAGCUGACGAUCGCUCGGUUCGGGGGAUUGGACAUUGUCGUCAAUAACGCUGGGGUGAAUCUGGAAAACGAGUCGUGGAGAACGACCAUCAUGGUCAACGUGGUUAGUUCGUCAUUAACUAACAAAGUGAUCUAAUAAUAAAUAAAAACGAUAAUCGAUACUAAUUAAUAUCUGAUAAUUAACCGAUAUGAGCUAGUACGCAUCCAUUUUUCGUUUUCAGAUUGGAGUCAUAGAAGGGACCAAACUGGCAGAAAAAUACAUGAGCAAGACUUCCGGCGGUCGAGGGGGCGUGGUCGUAAAUGUAGCUUCUACAGCAGGUUUGACCCCGGUGUUCUUCAUGCCUGUGUAUGUAGCCUCCAAAUACAGUGUGGUUGGAUUCACAAGAAGUGUUGCUAUGAAUCCUGAUGUCGGGAGGAGCGGCCUGAGGUUUGUCUGUCUGUGUCCGGGAUUUACCGACACUUCAUUGCUGUCCUCGGGACUGAAAAGUGAAGGAAUUUCCGGGAAUAAACUCGUGGAAGAACUUUUAACAAGCACGGGCAUAAAUACGGUCGAGUUUGUUGUCGAAGGUUUCAUGCAGCUACUUUUGACUGACGACAACAAUGGCGGAGUAAUGGUCGUCACCAAACAGCGCGGCAUCCGGUACCAUGGCCGGCAGCGUAAGGUCAACAAACUGUAGACCAUCGCCGUCAGCCACAGGAGGACAUGUGCCCGCCGCCAACCACCGACAAGUGCAUGCCGCAAAUCACGAAAGGAAGGCUUUGUACUUUUUGCGUGCCGCAUAAUGGACUUAGAACAGCUGUGAUAUUAAUCUAAUUAUAGAAAUAAACGUUAUUAAUGAUGAUGAUGAUGAUGAUGAUGAAAAUGCAAUGAAUAACAUUUCUUUUUAUCAACAUGACCAUCUGGGAUACUUCAAAAAAAUAUCUUUUCAUAUUUGUUGUACUCGCAUUUAAUUAUCGUGUUUUUUUUACGCAAUUUGAAGGACAAUUUUGCAUAAUAUAAAAUGGAUUUUUAAAAUUCUACUUUUUAAUGUUUAUUUUAUAUGUACUCAAAUAUUCAUGAAACUUCCAAGCAACUAAAAAGACAUAAGUUUUAUUU
rnacentral:misc_RNA from 1 species